GACGAACGCUGGCGGCGUGCUUAACACAUGCAAGUCGAGCGGUAAGGCCCUUUCGGGGGUACACGAGCGGCGAACGGGUGAGUAACACGUGGGUGACCUGCCCUCAGCUCUGGGAUAAGCCUGGGAAACCGGGUCUAAUACUGGAUAUGACUCCAUGACGCAUGUUGUGGGGUGGAAAGCCUUGUGCGGCUGAGGAUGGGCCCGCGGCCUAUCAGCUUGCUGGUGGGGUGAUGGCCUACCAAGGCGACGACGGUAGCCGGCCUGAGAGGGCGACCGGCCACACUGGGACUGAGACACGGCCCAGACUCCUACGGGAGGCAGCAGUGGGGAAUCUUGCGCAAUGGGCGAAAGCCUGACGCAGCGACGCCGCGUGAGGGAUGACGGCCU
rnacentral:rRNA from 1 species